AAGUAAUUAAAAGUCCAUUCCAAUUAUCACUUAUAUAAAAUGAAAAAUUGUGCCAGCAACCCUAAUUCCUACUCCAGCGCAGCGCCGCUCUUCUUCUCCAAUCUCCAUUCUGUUUUUGCAUUUUUUCUUUCAUCUUCUUCUACCGCCUCCUGCUCCGGCGAAGGACGCCGCCCUUAGCCACCGCCACCACCACCACCGGCAUUCCCCCUUCUAUCCUUCACCGCGCACGGCGAGGUUGCACAUGCAGCGCCGCCUUAGUCUCCACACCGCCGCCGCAAUCACCAUCUCCACGCCGUCCACCAUCACCAAAAUUUCUCGUCGCUCCGACUCGCCCGGCCUCCUCCAUCCUUGGCGCCUGUGUCAAAAUCUGCGCCACCGAUCUCGCCGACUCGCUCAGUCUAUACCGUCGCUCCGAUCCGCCCGGCCUCUUCCGUCCUUGACGCUGCGUCAGAAUCUGGCCGCUGGUCUCACCGACCCCCGCCUUCUCCGUCCUUGGUGCCCCUGUUAGAAGCAGUAGCAGGGUUUGCAUUGAUAGAUUAAACCCUAAUUCCCCUUCUCCCUCGUCUGCAUCUUCAAUUCCAGAGUUUGCAUCUUCAAUUCCAGAGUGGGGCACAACAGCAGAUUCAAGAAAAAGCUCCUCCGCGCAUCGAGGCGGCCGCCUUUCGCCGACGAGGCGCGUGUACAAAAAAAUCGUAUAGAGGCGCACAUAUUGGUGUGCUUCAGCGUCUCCUUUCCUUGAGGCGCGCCUAAAGGCAUCUGCCUCCAGCGAUUUUCACAACAUUGGAUAGUUCAUGUUUUAUUUUUAGGGAAAGAUGAAAAAGGGGAUUCACCCUCAAAUGCAAUGGAUAUCGUACGUGACCCAAAGUGGUCAUCUGAUGACUGUGAUGAUGACCAAGAUUCAUGAGACUGGUAAAGUUUAUCAUUUGCGAGCAAAGCGGUAGAUGGCUCAGAACUUAGGGCAGAUCGCUAAGUUCAAGUGUAAAUAUGGGGAAAAGGAAGAGGAACCUCAAAUGGAAGGGGAACCUCAAAAGAAAUAAUUUCAUUAAGGUACUUAACGUAUUCUAGACAGCCUUGUUUUUUUGUUUAGGGACUUGGUCAUAUUGGUGUAGUAUUCUGUUUUAUUCAAGAUUAGUACUGUGCUCAACUGAUGUAUGCUCAUCAUUUUCAAUCUCUGAUCAUAAUAAAAGCUGCUUUAUGUCU